rnacentral:rRNA from 1 species
CCACUUCGGUGGGGAUUAGUGGCGAACGGGUGAGUAACACGUGGGCAAUCUGCCCUGCACUCUGGGACAAGCCCUGGAAACGGGGUCUAAUACCGGAUAACACUUCGGGCCUCAUGGUCUGUGGUUAAAAGCUCCGGCGGUGCAGGAUGAGCCCGCGGCCUAUCAGCUUGUUGGUGAGGUAAUGGCUCACCAAGGCGACGACGGGUAGCCGGCCUGAGAGGGCGACCGGCCACACUGGGACUGAGACACGGCCCAGACUCCUACGGGAGGCAGCAGUGGGGAAUAUUGCACAAUGGGCGAAAGCCUGAUGCAGCGACGCCGCGUGAGGGAUGACGGCCUUCGGGUUGUAAACCUCUUUCAGCAGGGAAGAAGCGAAAGUGACGGUACCUGCAGAAGAAGCGCCGGCUAACUACGUGCCAGCAGCCGCGGUAAUACGUAGGGCGCAAGCGUUGUCCGGAAUUAUUGGGCGUAAAGAGCUCGUAGGCGGCUUGUCACGUCGGGUGUGAAAGCCCGGGGCUUAACCCCGGGUCUGCAUUCGAUACGGGCUAGCUAGAGUGUGGUAGGGGAGAUCGGAAUUCCUGGUGUAGCGGUGAAAUGCGC